GAUGAACGCUGGCGGCGUGCUUAACACAUGCGAGUCGAACGAAGCACUUUAUUUGAUUUCCUUCGGGACUGAUUAUUUUGUGACUGAGUGGCGGACGGGUGAGUAACGCGUGGGUAACCUGCCUUGUACAGGGGGAUAACAGUUGGAAACGGCUGCUAAUACCGCAUAAGCGCACGGCAUCGCAUGAUGCAGUGUGAAAAACUCCGGUGGUAUAAGAUGGACCCGCGUUGGAUUAGCUAGUUGGUGAGGUAACGGCCCACCAAGGCGACGAUCCAUAGCCGACCUGAGAGGGUGACCGGCCACAUUGGGACUGAGACACGGCCCAAACUCCUACGGGAGGCAGCAGUGGGGAAUAUUGCACAAUGGGCGAAAGCCUGAUGCAGCGACGCCGCGUGAGCGAAGAAGUAUUUCGGGAUGUAAAGCUCUAUCAGCAGGGAAGAUAAUGACGGUACCUGACGAAGAAGCACCGGCUAAAUACGUG
rnacentral:rRNA from 1 species